rnacentral:rRNA from 1 species
CGGACUGCAGCCUGCAACCCGGCUGCACGAAGCCGGAAUCGCUAGUAAUCGCGGAUCAGAACGCCGCGGUGAAUACGUUCCCGGGUCUUGUACACACCGCCCGUCACACCAUGAGAGUCGGGAACACCCGAAGUCCGUAGUCUAACCGCAAGGGGGGCGCGGCCGAAGGUGGGUCCGGUAAUUGGGGUGAAGUCGUAACAAGGUAUC